CCUACGGGGGGCAGCAGUGGGGAAUAUUGGACAAUGGGCGAAAGCCUGAUCCAGCCAUGCCGCGUGUGUGAAGAAGGCCUUCGGGUUGUAAAGCACUUUCAGUGGGGAAGAAAGCCUUGGGGCUAAUACCCUCGAGGAAGGACAUCACCCACAGAAGAAGCACCGGCUAACUCCGUGCCAGCAGCCGCGGUAAUACGGAGGGUGCGAGCGUUAAUCGGAAUUACUGGGCGUAAAGCGCGCGUAGGCGGUCUGAUAAGCCGGUUGUGAAAGCCCCGGGCUUAACCUGGGAACGGCAUCCGGAACUGUCAGGCUAGAGUGCAGGAGAGGAAGGUAGAAUUCCCGGUGUAGCGGUGAAAUGCGUAGAGAUCGGGAGGAAUACCAGUGGCGAAGGCGGCCUUCUGGACUGACACUGACGCUGAGGUGCGAAAGCGUGGGUAGCAAACAGGAUUAGAUACCCGAGUAGUC
rnacentral:rRNA from 1 species